rnacentral:lncRNA from 1 species
AUGAAGCUAAAAAUAUUUUCCCUCCAUAUAGAAGACCCUCUCCAUUCCAUUCAUCUGCUCCUGCAGUCCAUCCAACUCUUGAGCCCUGUUCUGGAUGCACAACAUAUGCAAGCUAACUUGGCACUGUUGAGAAUGUGCCCUCUUGUACCUGCAAAGAUGCCAACUCUUAGGGUCACAGCUUGCAGUAUACAAAGAGAAGACAGCCUCUUAAAAAUCUAAUUCCUAUAUUCUCAAGGGCUUGAAGACUCUCUGGGCUGCUGGAAUUAAGUGGCUGUGAUUUUCUGGAAAUCCAGGCAUUUGCUUCAUUAAAACUUCAUGAAAUCUAAACACAGUCUUUAUUCCAUGUAUCUCUUACAUGUCUCUCAAACAUUUUUUCUGUUGAUACAUUUAUUUUUAGUGAUAAUGUAUUUUCACUAAAACAUGGAUCAUACACAGAUGAUACCUUACAGGAAAUCCCUACAAAGCAGAGUACUGCUAAUCCUUCUAUGUAAACACUUGGAACAGGAGAGCACAUUUGGAAUUUUCUAGACACAUGAAUUGAAUACUAUUUUUGCUCUCCAAGAGGCCAAGAGCAAAAUACAUGCAGUGAACUUUUCUAAGAAGGAAGACAAGCUUGUUAAACUCACCUUCAAGCAAACAGCAACAGCCCUUAUUCUUUCUUUACAGGUAAGAAACAGAUGCUUUUCAUUACUUUGGGCAAUAAUAUCUCAUUAGCACGGCACAUCAGCAAGCUGGGACACAUCAGCUAUACCUGAUUAAGUUGAUUCCAGGUUUCUUCAAGCUUGGCUCAGUCCAAAGGAAAAAUCAGGUUGGUUUAUGCAGUGGAUAACAGGCAGAAGUUCUGAAAACAGUGCUAAGGAUAAGGGCUGAAGGAAAAACUGGAAAACUCAAUUUUGGCCCUAACAGAAGGUUGUCUGCUAUCUCACCCUCUAGGCAGAGAUUUUUUGGCAGUUUACAAGUGAAUAAUUUCCCCUGCCAAGUAACUGAAAUGUAUUCUCUGUGACACAUUAUUUUUCAUGGCAGGUCAGGAAGGGUAUCAGUGAAUAGGAGGUCCAGCAUCUCUUUCUGGCAUGGGUUGAACAGCUGAGAUACACUGCCUGCAGGAGCUAAGAGUAUGUAAUUACAGCCUUCACUCACAGAUGUCCUCACUGGCAUGAACUCUAGUUAUAGCCAUUGGUGACAUGUACUUUGGCAAGGUCUUGACAGAAUGGAUAUUUUCUAGGAUGUCUGAAGCAGCUAAGAGCUUGUGGAACUGCACUUCCAAUGUAGGAGGCUCGGAGGCCAAAGAAGGAGAAUCGAGUUUGAGUAGGCUAACAUUGAAGGUUCUCUCUCUCUCUCUCUUUAUGUAUAUAGAAAUAGUUUUUAAUCUUCAUUUCUGUGGAAGUGAAUAGCAAUUCUCUAAUGAGAUUUCAUUAAUUUAAUUUCAGCCUUUGUCGAGAGAUGAUGAAAACUGGUGGAGAGACACUUAACUGUGAAGCACAGUGGAAAGCUGGAACCAUCUCUACUCAAAGCAUCCUUCAGGACUGAUACCCUGGGGGAACAGGGGCACACAGGGGGCUGUGAAACACUGCACAAGCCUUGUGGUGCCCCUCAUUCCUUGACAGUUUAAUACCACUCAGUAAUUUACAUGGGCUGUGAAACCAGUAGGGUUUGACACCCAUAAGGUCAGCUCUGCCAUUGGGGAUGCAAACUUGGGUCUCAGCAGAGGAAAAAACUAAACUAGUGCAAACAUGUUUUUCUCAGCGAGUCAAGCAAGGUACCUAAGGUAGUAAAAAUAAUUUACCAACUUAUCUAUAGUAGAGUGCUUGCUGUGAGCUUUCACCCCCUUUACAGAUGCUGUAAGAACCCCUGCUAAGGGUUUUGAUAUUUCUUCUAUUAAACAUACCAGGAAUUUAAAAUUGUUUUCAACAGAAAAAGGUGUAAAGAGAACAAAGCAGCACAUUCAAUUUCUGAAUCUGUUGAAAUGAAUGACUGCAUUUCAUUUGUUUAUUUUAAUCUAACUUAAAGAGUUAAUGCUGGUUAAGCACAGCUUGCAUUGGUACAUAGUGGAAGAAAACAAAAGCAAAUGCAUUAAUUACUGUUCACUGACCACAGUAAUGAUUUUAAAAAAUGCUUGAUUAGUGAACAGUAUACCUCCAAAUCACAGCUAAGGUGAAUACAAAAAUUUGAAGCACACAAUCACCAAUAUCAUUAUUAUUAUUACUAUUAUUAUUCUACCUUUGAGGGAUCACUCUGUUGAAAAUAAUUAUAUCAAUACAUUUUUAAUUCCUUUUUUUACAACACAUUUUUGUAAGAAAAGGGUGAAAGUAAGACCUUUAAAAUAAAAAAAUGUAAUUAAAAGGCA